rnacentral:rRNA from 1 species
UAACACCAGCGCCACAAGUGGCAACCACGAUUAUUGGGCCUAAAGCGUCCGUAGCCGGUUCAGUAAAUUUUCUGUGAAAUCGUUAGGCUUAACUUAACGGUAUGCAGGAAAGACUGCUGGACUAGGGACCGGGAGGCGUCAGAGGUAUUCUUGAGGGAGCGGUAAAAUGCUAUAAUCUCAGGAGGACCUCCAGUGGCGAAAGCGUCUGACGAGAACGGAUCCGACGGUGAGGGACGAAAGCUAAGGUAGCGAACCGGAUUAGAUACCCGAGUAGUCUUAGCUGUAAACGCUGCGAGCUAGGUUUUAUGUAUUCUUCGGGAAUACAUAGUGUCGAAGCGAAGGUGUUAAGCUCGCCGCCUGGGAAUUAUGGUCGCAAGACUG